UCACUUGUGUUUUUUUUGUUUAUNUGUAUGAAUGGCAUCACGAGGGCUUAACUGUCUCCCCUCCCCAGUCAAUGAAAUUGAUCUCCCCGUGCAGAAGCGGGGAUAAUUCCAUAAGACGAGAAGACCCUAUGGAGCUUUAAACGUCAGAGCAGCCCAUGUAAAGCACCCCUUAACAAAGGAAAAAACCAAAUGAAGCCUGCCCUAAUGUCUUUGGUUGGGGCGACCGCGGGGAAAUACAAAACCCCCAUGUGGAGUAGGAAUACACAUUCCUAAACCCAAGAGCUCCCGCUCUAAUGAACAGAAAUUCUGACCAAUAAGAUCCGGCACACGCCGAUCAACGGACCGAGUUACCCUAGGGAUAACAGCGCAAUCCCCUUAAAGAGCCCUUAUCGACAAGGGGGUUUACGACCUCGAUGUUGGAUCAGGACAUCCUAAUGGUGCAGCCGCUAUUAAGGG
rnacentral:rRNA from 1 species